rnacentral:pre_miRNA from 1 species
UCUACCAUUUCACGUGCUCUCUCACCGGUCAGAGAGGCGAGAGAGUGUGUGAAAUGAAGAGA